GAUGAAGAACGUAGCGAAAUGCGAUAAGUAAUGUGAAUUGCAGAAUUCAGUGAAUCAUCGAAUCUUUGAACGCACAUUGCGCCCGCUAGUAUUCUGGCGGGCAUGCCUGUUCGAGCGUCAUUACAACCAUCAAGCCCUAGGCUUGUGUUGGGGCCCUGCGGCCGUCCGCAGCCCCCUAAAAAUAGUGGUGGGCUCGCUAUAUACCGAGUGCAGUAGUUUACUCUUCGCUCAGGACGUGUAGCGGGUUCUGGCCGUAAAACUCCUAAAUUUAUCAAGGUUGACCUCGGAUCAGGUAGGAAUACCCGCUGAACUUAAGCAUAUCAAUAAGCGGAGGA
rnacentral:misc_RNA from 1 species